CACCUUACUGCAACCUCACCCUACCACGUAAGCGAUUGACAUACACCCGCAAACAUGCAAACGAUCUAUCCAUCUUCACCAACACCGGAUAUGACGUACGACACGCUGUGGGCGAGCCAAUCAACGUUGUUGGUGAGGGAAAAGCCAAAUGUCUCAAUUACCGCAUUGGGGUAUAAAAGGACAAAAAAUAUUUCAACCAGAAUUAAACUGCAGCAGUAUUGUACUAGGUUACUAGGACUCGUAGCUUGUAUUCGCGAUUAUUUUAUUCCCAUCAGUUGCAUACCAGAGGACGGACAAAGAUAAUGGACUCGUUGAAGACCGUGAAAACUCACAGAGAAGAAAAAAGCUCGACUUUCAAGGAGCUGACCCAAGAAUCUUCUUCGACGACAGGAACGAAUACUGRAAGACAAAUAGUUGGUCUGAAUUAUACCAGAGAUAAUCGUGCAGCCAGACUAUUAUCCUGUCAAGAAGUGAUGUUUGAAUACAGUAUUGUGGUGGUAGUACUUGGGUGUUUCUUGCUGACAGCGUGGCUGAGAAUCUUAUUAAAAAAUCCAACUUUUCAGAACAAUACACUCGUCCGGCUAUGAGAAGUGAAGCACUUAUUCAAACUAUCGUGAAGUAAGUCUUGAUAGCUCGUUCAGAAAGUUCGCCAGUCGGGAGAUUCGGGGCUUUAUUUCUGUGCGGAGAAUUCCUUCACCGAAGAAUUUCAGAAAAAGGAAUGACUAAACAUUAACUUCUUUCAGCAAGACGGCCGCUGUCAAAGUUGAAAACAAAUCUGAAGUGGUAUCRCUUUCGAGAACUGUAAAAGUCAGUUACUACUGGAAAAUCGUUUAGUGUAUACAGACUUCAUAUACCGAUGCUUUCUACAAAAUCAGGAAAAACCUGAAGACUUAUUAUUUCCCAAUUUCACAAAGCAUGAUGAAAUAUAUAUUGCAAUCACUGUAUCACGCGAGAGAUUAACUCAGCUAUACAGCUAGUAUUUAUUGCGCGUGUUAGGAGGAUUGAUGAUGUAAAAACUGAAGUCAUUUGCAAAGGCCAGGAAAAACCGCUGAGCCUUCCAGCCAAGCAAAUCCUCAACUCACCUUAACUUAUAACAAUUAUUUAGUUUGAGGCAUAAUGUCUGUAUUUACCACUUGUGAAAACUUAUUUAGUUUGUACUAUGUAUAUGUAUACUAUUUAUAUAAUAUAAAAUAUUUGAUGUAUAAGAUCAUAGUUAUUAUAAACAAAGAAAAAAUUUAUGACUUCUA